UUGGAGGGUUAAGAAAGUGGAUCAUGUAAAGAUAUCAUCUCUGCUGAUAUUGCCCUCCUAGAACAAAUAGUAGUAGAUCAAGUCGGAGAAUUUCAAGUUUAAUUUCUGACUUACUACAUCUGCUGACAUUU